rnacentral:rRNA from 1 species
AGUGAACGCUGGCGGUAGGCCUAACACAUGCAAGUCGAACGGCAGCACAGUAAGAGCUUGCUCUUACGGGUGGCGAGUGGCGGACGGGUGAGGAAUACAUCGGAAUCUACUUUUUCGUGGGGGAUAACGUAGGGAAACUUACGCUAAUACCGCAUACGACCUACGGGUGAAAGCAGGGGAUCUUCGGACCUUGCGCGAUUGAAUGAGCCGAUGUCGGAUUAGCUAGUUGGCGGGGUAAAGGCCCACCAAGGCGACGAUCCGUAGCUGGUCUGAGAGGAUGAUCAGCGACACUGGAACUGAGACAAGGUCCAGACACCUACGGGAGGCAGCAGUGGGGAAGAUUGGACAAUGGGCGCAAGCCUGAUCCAGCCAUACCGCGUGGGUGAAGAAGGCCUUCGGGUUGUAAAGCCCUUUUGUUGGGAAAGAAAAGCAGCAGGUUAAUACCCCGCUGUUCUGACGGUACCCAAAGAAUAAGCACCGGCUAACUUCGUG